AUGGCAGGUAGGGGUGCAUGGCUCGCAAAGGCAGAUAUUUCAGAUGCCUUUAAAGUUAUGCCUUUACAUCCAUCGCAGUGGCAUUUAUUUGGCAUUAAAUGGAGGGAAAAACUAUAUUUUUCAGUCAGGCUCACUUUCGGCUGUCGCAGUAGUCCAAAAAUAUUUGAUACACUAUCAGAGGCGCUAUGUUGGAUUCUCCUUAAUAACUGCAAAUUACCACACGUGCUCCAUCUUUUAGAUGAUUUUCUGCUAGUGGAUUAUAAAAAUGCAAAGCCAGAAAGAUGCAUUUCGGCUUUAAAACACACUUUCGCUGAUUUAGGUGUUCCCCUUUCUGAGGAGAAAACUUUAGGCCCUCUUAAAGUUAUCGAGUUUUUAGGCAUUACUUUAGAUUCCAAUCUAAUGCAAGCCUCGUUGCCCCUUGAGAAAUUAAAUCGCAUCAGAGAAAUCAUGAGAAAUGCUCAGAUGUCCAUAUCUUUUUCAAAAAGAGACUUGCUUUCUUUACUAGGCCAUCUUAAUUUCGCGAUGCGUAUAAUUCCCCAAGGCAGGUCUUUUAUUGCCAGACUCCUCGAUCUAUCCAAAUCAGUUAAAGAUCUUAAGGACAUAGUUACCUUAGAUGCAGGCUGCAGAUCAGAUCUCAGGUUCUGGUCUUUGCUCCUCGAAAAUUGGAAUGGCAUUUCUUUUUUUCAUUAUGAUGAUCUUGAGUCUUCUGCAGCCCUUAAUUUGUAUACAGAUGCUGCGCCUUCUGUCGGUUUUGGGGGGGUUUUUAAUGGUCAGUGGUUUGCUAGUAAAUGGCCAAAGGAGCUGCUAUCCGUGCCUGAUGAUAACAUGUCCACCGCUCUGUUGGAAUUAUAUCCCAUAGUGAUAGCUGGUAUUCUGUGGGGCAAACAAUGGUCUAGAAAACAAAUUUUGUUUUUUUGUGACAAUGAGGCAACGGUUAAUAUUAUUAACAAAGGUCGAUCAUCAGUUCCGUUUAUCAACAGAUUCGUCAGGCGCCUUACAUGGUUAUCUGUCAUGGAUAACUUCUUUUUUCGAGCUGUUCACAUUCCAGGCUUAAAUAAUCAAAUUGCUGAUUCUCUUUCUCGAUUUGAAUUUCAGAAAUUCCACCGCCUGUGUCCAGGUUCAGCAUCAGCCAGCUUGGUCUGCCCUCCUUUCAGCCAAACAGUAAUAGAUUAG
ensembl:lncRNA